rnacentral:lncRNA from 1 species
UGUAUUAAUAUCUUUCCAAGCAUAAGUCUGCGCACUGAGACUUUUUUUCAUUCAAGGCAUUUUCCCCCAGUCUGCUGUGUCCUUGAGGAAAUUCUGGAGGGAUGCUGGAGAGCUGUUGUCAUGCUGGAACUUGAAUAGGACAUUACAGAGUGCAAGAUCAGAAACCACCCUUCACACAAUAGCUGUGCCAGAAAUGGCUCACCAGGAAGGCAGAUUGCCGAGGGAAAUCCAAUUCUCCCCAAAGCAGACUAUGUAUUUAUCAGACUGCACUCCUCUUGGAAACAUCUGCUUACCUUUGUGCUUACAUUCCCCUACUUUUGCAUUUGAGCUGAGCCCCUGA